rnacentral:rRNA from 1 species
UACGUAGGGGGCAAGCGUUGUCCGGAUUUACUGGGCGUAAAGAGCGCGCAGGCGGUCGGUCAAGUCGAGUGUGAAAGCCCCUGGCUCAACUGGGGAGGGUCACUCGAUACUGAUCGACUCGAAGGCAGGAGAGGGAAGUGGAAUUCCCGGUGUAGUGGUGAAAUGCGUAGAUAUCGGGAGGAACACCAGUGGCGAAGGCGACUUCCUGGCCUGUUCUUGACGCUGAGGCGCGAAAGCUAGGGGAGCAAACGGG